UUGGCAGAAAGAAAAUUAUAAGAAGAUUGAACUCUUGUUGAUGUUGAUAUCCUUCAUCGCGCGAUUUUGAUCAUGAAAAUGAUAAAAAAAAAAUGGGUUAGUUUUAGCGAUUAUACACUCCAAUCGUCAAAAUAAUCACCAUGGGCAAGUGGGAAUUUUAUUGCUCCCGUUUCCUCUUCUUCAAUUCCUCAAUCUCUGUACUUUUAAGGUUCUCACAGCAGCAGUUAUCAGAGCACUUUGAGCCAUGUGACUUUGUAUUUCCAGGCAUUAUGUAUUUACUUAUGCAGGCUCCUGUGGUAGCUAUUGAUAUGAAGGGUGAAAUGUCUGGUUUCAUCGCUUUGCUAUGACUUAUGAUGGUAUCCUCUUUCAUAUAACACGAGUGAGUGUUAUUCAAUGCUAUAGUCAAGAAGCUUCACCAAAUUCUUUUCUCGUGGGGCCUACUCAAUCAUAUGAUGCAUAUCAAAUUUCUGCAUCCCGAAGUGAUUUGUUGGAACCUCCAAUGCGUCAACCAGAAAUUACUCAGCCUGUGUUCGUGCCGGAAAAUAACAAAAAAACAACGGGUCGGAAGAAUAAGAAGAAUGUGGAAUCCAAAUGUAAAGUCGACAAACGCCAGUUAGCAUCAGACACCACCGAUGGAGUAAAUACGAAGACAGGUUGCUGGUGGAGCAACACGGUGGGCCCACAUUGCUGAAAAGUUCCCUUUGAGGAUCGCGAAGCAAUGCAGAGAUAGAUGGCAUAACUGUUUGAGUCCAAACAUUGUGAAAUAUGGAUGGUCCGAGGAAGAUGACAAGUUACUCGUUUCAUUACACAAACAAUUUGGAAAUAAAUGGGCAGAUAUUGCAAGAAACAUGCCUGGAAGAUGUGAAAAUAGCAUAAAAAACCAUUGGAAUGCAACCAAAAGAAAUCAGUUUAAGAUUUCAUCCAAUGGUUAAUAAAAACUAAAUACCAUUCCUAUCUUUUAAAAGAUUACAUCACAAGUAUCUCAUCUGAUAAUCAGAUUAAUACCCAAGAAAGCUCGGGUUUUGACCCUCAAAAUCAUGAAUCCGUGACGAGCUUGAAUGCCAUGUCAUCGUCUUUUCCAGGUUCUUGGGUCGGUUACAAGCCUGAUGAGUUGGUGGUCGAAUGGAUUGGUUUUGAUUUUCAUCAAGUCUCGUCUCACUUGGUUGAUCAACUGCAGUUUGAUUCACAGAAUUUUACGGGUUUUAUAGGUUCACCUUUCGGCGUCGGUUUUAGGUAAUUUUUUUUUCUUUUUUUUCUUUUGAGAGUUAGAAGACUUUAAACUUGUGCUUUUGUGGCUUUUCGGGUGGAACAUGGAAUUGUGUUUUGAGGUUUGUUUUUGCUUGGUUAAGGUUUUGGAUUUUAUGUUAUGGGUCUUGUUUUGAGUA